UAGGGAAUCUUCCGCAAUGGACGAAAGUCUGACGGAGCAACGCCGCGUGAACGAUGAAGGCUUUCGGGUCGUAAAGUUCUGUUGUUAGGGAAGAACAAGUAUCGGAGUAACUGCCGGUACCUUGACGGUACCUAACCAGAAAGCCACGGCUAACUACGUGCCAGCAGCCGCGGUAAUACGUAGGUGGCAAGCGUUGUCCGGAAUUAUUGGGCGUAAAGCGCGCGCAGGCGGUUCCUUAAGUCUGAUGUGAAAGCCCCCGGCUCAACCGGGGAGGGUCAUUGGAAACUGGGGAACUUGAGUACUGAAGAGGAAAGCGGAAUUCCACGUGUAGCGGUGAAAUGCGUAGAGAUGUGGAGGAACACCAGUGGCGAAGGCGGCUUUCUGGUCAGUAACUGACGCUGAGGCGCGAAAGCGUGGGGAGCAAACAGGAUUAGAUACCCCCGUAGUCC
rnacentral:rRNA from 1 species